rnacentral:tRNA from 1 species
GGGCCAAUCGUAUAGUGGCUUAUUAUGCUGUCUUAGGGCUUUUCCCUCUUCCGAGGUUGCACUAAGUUGACAGAGGUCCCCGGUUCGAUUCCGGGUUGGCCCC